GGGGACGAUUUUGGAUUCGACGCCGAUGAUGAAGCUUGAGGUGCAUGUGGUGAGGGUAUAACGAUCACCUAAAUCCCCGUUGUACAUAUAAAUAGUCGCAAACGACGAAAACUACGCACUAGCGGCUUAAGCCCGCUAACCUCCGAUUCUGGAUGCUUGUGGACAGAUGACGAGGGCACGCAACACAAGCUCGCGCGGGAGGCUUGCCUAAGGCUAAACCGUUAAAUAAGUAUUAGGCUCGCCCUAAACGCCCUGUCUCUCGGGCCGUGAUGGGUUAAUCUAGUAGAGUGACUAAACAUGUAGAUCCGAUAGGGGAGUGUUGGCGGACGCGGGUUCGAACCCCGCCGUCUCCACCA
rnacentral:tmRNA from 1 species